CAGCAAGGGAGUUGAGACAAUGUUAAUAUG
rnacentral:piRNA from 1 species